rnacentral:tRNA from 1 species
UGGCUCAUUUGGUAGAGAACCUGCCUGCAAUGCAGGAGACCCGGGUUCAAUCCCUGG